ensembl:lncRNA
CUAAUUUUAGUUUUUGCUCCAAAAUAGUGUAUUUAAACAAAAUUUUUCAUAGAGUGUGUAUUUCACAGGAUGUGAAAACCCAAACCAGCUUCACUGGUCUGGGUGGGGUUGAACCUUCUACCCACAAUUCGAUUGAACCCACCUGUGCAGUAACUGAAUCAUCCCACAAGGCAAAACAAGCAUGAAUGCAUUUGGCUGUGUAGGCAAUAGAAAUUAAGGGCUGGGUCCUGAAGCUUUGUUUUCAGAAGGAAAAUGCUUGUUUGUGAUUCCCUUCCUACUAUGAUUCUUCCACCCCCUACCUCACUUCAGCCCAGACGAUCUGAGAGGACAAGUCUGGAGCUGUUGGUGGCCCCUGUACCUCCAUGUGAUGUUUGAGAAGGAAUGAAGUUGGCAUGAAGCAGAGCAGAGCUAAGACCACUGAGCCUUGAUCACAUGGUUGGACCUGGAGCAAGUUGGUCCCAAAACUG